rnacentral:rRNA from 1 species
UACGGAGGAUGCCAGCGUUAUCCGGAUUUAUUGGGUUUAAAGGGUGCGUAGGCGGCCAUUUAAGUCAGCGGUGAAAUUUUGCAGCUUAACUGUAACAGUGCCGUUGAUACUGUUUGGCUAGGAUUUGGUUGUAGUGUGCGGAAUGUGUGGUGUAGCGGUGAAAUGCUUAGAUAUCACACAGAACACCGAUUGCGAAGGCAGCACACUAAGUCAUUAUUGACGCUGAGGCACGAAAGUGUGGGGAUCAAACAGGAUUA